rnacentral:rRNA from 1 species
AGAGUUUGAUCAUGGCUCAGGACGAACGCUGGCGGCGUGCUUAACACAUGCAAGUGGAGCGACGAACCGGGGCUUGCCCCGGGGCAGAGCCGCGAACGGGUGAGUAACACGUGGGUAACCCACCCCGAUGACCGGGACAACCCGAGGAAACUCGGGCUAAUACCGGAUGUGCUCCUUGACCUCGAGGUCAAGGCGUAAAGAUAGCUUCGGCCUUCGCAUCGGGACGGGCCCGCGGCCCAUUAGCUAGACGGUGGGGUAACGGCCUACCGUGGCGAUGAUCGGUAGCUGGUCUGAGAGGACGGCCAGCCACACGGGGACUGAGACACGGCCCCGACUCCUACGGGAGGCAGCAGCAAGGAAUCUUCCGCAAUGGGGGCAACCCUGACGGAGCAACGCCGCGUGGGGGAUGACGCGCUUCGGCGUGUAAACCCCUUUUCUUCGGGAAGAAGGGCUUCGGUCUUGACGGUACCGGAGGAAGAAGGACCGGCUAACUACGUGCCAGCAGCCGCGGUAAUACGUAGGGUCCAAGCGUUGUCCGGAGUUACUGGGCGUAAAGCGCGCGCAGGCGGCGGUGCUGGCCCGGCGUGAAAGCCCCCGGCUCAACCGGGGAGGGUCGUCGGGGACCGCACCGCUUGAGGGCGGUAGGGGCUGGUGGAAUGCCUGGUGUAGUGGUGAAAUGCGUAGAGAUCAGGCGGAACACCCGUGGCGAAGGCGGCCAGCUGGGCCGUCCCUGACGCUGAGGCGCGAAGGCGUGGGGAGCGAACGGGAUUAGAUACCCCCGUAGUCC